rnacentral:lncRNA from 1 species
CCCUGACCCAAUAUCACCUAAUAUCUGUUGUAGUUGUUUCUUUGUUUGUCGUAUCUUUUCUUUUCUUUUACUAUUUCUUUUUUCAUGUUUAACUUUAAAAUUGAAAACAAUGAUGCAAAAUUUAUAACCUACAUGAAAUUCGUCUUUUUUUUUCGAGCAAUUACUCCAUAAUUUAUCGUUUUACUGCAAGUGAAAGCCUUACCUACUAAAAUAGCAUGCCACACAAUUAUUAGCAGAAAAUUGAUUUUUAAAUCCAUACGUCUGUG